CCUCAGCAACAGGAAACAAAGAUAGAGGGAAACAAACACAACUGUAUAUCGAAGUUUAUAAAUACUACUUAAUUUAAGAAACGGAAUGUAAUUUUAGGACUUUUUCAGACGAGAAGUUAGUUGUUUAAGCAACUUUUCUGCGGUCGGUUUGUCAAUAUUCAGCAUUUGUAACAAUUUGCUCCGUGGAUGUCGGAGAUGUGAGGUGUAGUUAACGGGACCGUCAGACCCUCCAGCACCGGGCGGUCAGCUCAUCUCACCCCGGAGAGAGCAGCCUGUUAUCGUCAAGUCUUCUGUGAAAUGCUCCGCUGGAUUUCACGUCUCCGUAGAGAUAUAAGCAGGGUUCGAAAUGAGGGGGGUCUGGGGUGGUCCCGGAUCCCCCAUAAAGCCAUUGGGGACCCCCCAUAAGAAUUUAUUUUUAGAUUUUGGGGGGUCCCCGAAAAAUAUUUUUAACAUUAAAAAUGAUUGUGUAAUUAUAGGUCUUUAGUGACGUUUUAUAUUUAUAACAAAAAAUUACUUUAUUUCCUAGCGCGAUUGAGCAGCAAUCAGGGCAGCUAAUAGCGUCACAGAUUGUUGUCGUGGUCCUCCGGAGUAAACAGUACAGUCUGUGACGCAUACACGUAGGUCCUUGAACGCGGCAAAAACGAAGCCUCACAAAGAGUGAAAUCUAAAGAACCCUAAUGAAAAUCCCAUGCCACUUAAAUGCCUCCCGCUUCUCCCUGAUGCUCCGAAAACGGACGUUUGAGGGAAGUGAAACAGCGCCGCACGGGACGCUAGUAAACACUACACUGGACAGCAGGGAGGUGAACAAGAAAAAACAAAACAAACGAAGAAGGCAGAUUCUCAAAGGGAGGAAACACAAAGCGCUGCUCAGGCUCAACUGAAGUCGGGAGGGAAACUCCACCCACGUCUUGUGGUCCGAGGGGAUGGGGCAGGGUUCAGGUGUGGAAACCCGAGGUCCGGCACCAUUAUCAAAAGUCCAAUCAAGAACGUGUACUCCGUGGUACGCCGCGGUUCUGGCACUGCAGAGGCCAAAAAACAAAAUGUGCAAACAGGCAAGAAAACUCUGAUGGAUUAAAGACAGCACCUGAGACCAGCCUGGGAACUCUGAAGCCUUUAUGCCCGCCACUGGUGAUCCCUGGAAUGAGCCACAGCUGAGCUAUCGAGAGAGGCAGAACACAGAGGUGGAAACUCUAGAUUGACAAAACAGAACAAAAGCACAGACAGGGCAAAAAACAACAGAUAUGCAGAUUGGGUCCCUAACACUGGGAUUGUAAUCCAUCUCUUUCUGAUGCCAUAGCUGUUCAUGGCAUAUUCAUCCAGAAUCCAAGGAAGUUAUAAACCCAAUGAUAUUUACAACACAGUUCUGAAAAAAUGAAUAACUAAAUGAAAAUGACUCAGAAAUGUUGACCAUAAGAACUUCACUUUUGGCUGAACAGACCCUUCAACCAAAACCCUUUAAACUGCAUGUCCACAUGUUCUGGUCCUUGAAGUUCAGUUGCAAUGCUGAUGGCCCCCUGUCCAAUGUGUUGGAUGUCUUUGUACAAACUGUAUGCGUAACAUCAGACAUGCUCCAGUGAAUGCCUGUGUCACCAGCUGCAUAAUAGUAGUAAUAAGAGGGCGGGUAUGGGGGUUUGACCUGUCAUAAUUUAUGACUGACAGUGCGUAAUCAAAGAGUCUGUUAAAGGUGUUAGUAGUCAUAAAACAAUAAAAUGGUUUUAGAGGAAGAAUAAACAUAAGUUUUAUCAGAAGGUGUUUUUAUACGACCGGUCACCCCCUCUGAUCCAGGUAGAAAUCAAACAUGGCUCCUAGACAUUCGGGUUUUGAACCACUGAACCACUGGCAAUGGAAUGAGAACAUCAUACCCUCCAUCUCCAUGUUUAUGAUCAUGAAUAACGUCCAUGUUGGGGGAGCCCGCAUCAUGGGGGCUGCGGAAGUACUUUUAAACGGGCUGAAAUCUGCAGACAAAGCCAUCGAAAAAAUGUAUGAGACCUUGAUCGGGGAAGACAAACACAAAAUUAAACAACUGCAGAAGCUUCUCAACUGGUAUGGUGAAGAGGGUGAGGCACCCGAUGAAAUUGAUGUUGAUGAUGACGAAACUGAUGUUGCUGAGACGGACGUUGAUGAUGAGACCGACAAUGAUGUGUAAAAAAAACAUGUUGAGAGAGAGAGAGAGAGAGAAAAUCAAAUAAAAUCAAAAACAAUGUGAAAAUCUUGAGUGUCUUAAUGUAGCAGGUGGCACCAUGGGGUGGCGCUGUGGGGUCAAGGCGGUGCACCUAUAAAAGGGGAAGUGGCAUUUUGCCAUGAAGUGCCAGUUUCCUGUUGGGUGGCCAGGGUAUGGUUGGGCCCCCAGUAGUGGUGAGAAAUCCCCAUUCUCUUUUGAUCUGUAAAUAUAUUUCUGUUUAUUCUUUCAUAUGUACGGGUGGUAGAUUUUAAUGGAGUAUGCAUGACAGGAUCGGGAGGAGAGGCACCGAUCCGGGCAAAGAGAGAACGAAUGGGUGUGAGAGUUUGACACAGCAGGUAUGUUGGGUAUUUUAAGUAUGAAUUAAGGUAUGAAUUAAAGUUCGUUGUUGGUAAUUGUGUUGUGUUUCAGUUAUUAUCCCGCUACCUGCUGUCCUUUUGUUAGUUUUGUUUUUUGUUCUCUGUGGUUAGUCCGCUCCUGGUUCAUUGUGUUUUGUUUCUUGCGUGUUUUUGAUGUAAGAGCGGACUAACCACUUUAAGUUUGUUUGUUUGUCUGUUUUUCUGAUCACUUUCCCCACAUUCCUAGUUAUACAGCAGUGCCCCGGGCAAACCCCGUACCUAUAGUGUGAACUGAACGGGGGGGGUUGUUUGCAGUGUUGUGCCCUGAUUUGCCGUGGUUGGCCUUAUACCGAAGUGUGCUGUGCCGUUUUAAGCGGGUUUGACCGCGGUGUGUUGCAGGGUAACUCAGGGGCGCUCAGAGCCUGCAAUGUGUCGGUGUAUGUGGGGUCGAAUUAGACCUAUCUGCAAUAAAUAUUGUUAAAAUGUAUUCGGCUUCUGUUUCUUAUAUUCAUAAGUUAACAUUUGGCGUUGCUUUUGACACUAAGAACCUUGGGGAAGUGAUCUUUUUUUUCCUUUUUUCUUUUUUUUUCUUUAUAAGGACAGCAGGCGCGGUCGACAGAUAGCAGACAAAUGGAGGGUGCUUCUAGCGGCGGAGAGCAGGAAGAGUCCGGCAGACCAGCCAUGUUACAGCAAAUGAAGGAUCUUGAAAAGGAAUUGGCGAAUUUGAAGACCGCGGCGUCAACCACUGAUCCGGAUCAGCCCUCCCCCUCAUCGGGAGCGACAGGUGGAGAAGGCAGCGGACAUACUGACACUGUGAUUUAUGUGCGAAAGGACCGGAAAAUGGCGCUGUUCUCUGGAAACCUGGACAUUGUCAAUUCGUUAACAUUGGAUGAAUGGAUCGAGCAAAUGAGAAACUUUGUUCAGACACGGGGACGAACCGAAAAAGAUCGUGCACAGAUGAUUUUUGACCAUCUAGAGGGAGCGGCCAGAACGGAGAUAAGGUUCUUACCAUCAUCCCAAAGGGAACAAGUUCAAUGUGUUUUCAAUGUUCUGAAGGAAGUGUAUGGCUGCAUGAAUUCGCGAAUAUCAUUACAACGCAGGUUUUAUAACCGGAAUCAACUAGAUGAUGAGUCCUUGCUUGAGUCUUCAUUUGCAUUGAUGGGCUUAAUGGAUCAGGUGGGCAAGACUGAUGCACAAGUGACAUCCAAAGAUUUACGUGACCAAUUUUGUGAUGGGGUGAGGGAUCGGACCAUGACAGUUAGACUGAGAGAUUUGGCGAAUGCUAAUCCACGGUGGACAAUUCGGGAGGUUAGAGGGGAAGCCAUAAAAUAGAUGGCACAGUUUGGGGAUCAGCCCGCUAGGUUUAAGUGCAAUGCCAGUCCGGUCUUGAAUGAAGUGUCUGUUUCACGUGAAAGCGCAGCGUCAAGCUCCACUGAAUAUGGUGAACUAGUGUCUUUGUCAAAGGCUCAGCAGACUCAAUUAGACUUGGUCAUGAAGGCCUAGUAAUGUACCUUCAUCCAAAGAGGGCAGCUUUAGACCCUGGAGAACAGCUAAUGGAAAACCAAUCUGCUUUAAGUGUGAACCGAGUGGGCACAUUGCCCGUUAUUGUCCCACCAUUGUUAAAACGGAUCUUAACGAUGUUACUCACUUUACCAAGCAAGGGAGAAAAUUGGAACACGCCAGUAUGCAGAGCCAAGCACUGGUGGGGGGCUUGCAGGGCUUGGACCAGGCUGUUAAUCCAGACGUAUGUAAUGUGGUUGGUGAAUGUUUGGAUGGGGAGGUGAAUUUUUCAGGGGUUAACGUUAAUUGCCUGUUGGAUAGUGGCUGGUUACAACCCCGAGCCGCUCCCCCUCUUUCCCCUCUGCAGCCGAGCUGAAAACAUGCCCGCCACGACAGUGUGCGAACCAAAUAAUUGCUAAAAGGAAGUCUUUGAGAACAGGUUUCUCAAGCCAGGUGGCACAUUAGACCAGGGGCUCAUCUUUCUUUUUCCAAAAUUCAUCACAAACUGCUUGAGAAAGCUGUUGUACUAUGAUAAUUGGUGAUGAAAAUAAAGCAUGCUCAAUAAGAUGUACUUGUGUUUACUAACUGUUUAUUCAGCGAAGGAGUGAAGUUCCCAGCUGGCAUCGAUAAGGUGUACAGUAACGCCGAGGUAGUUAUCGUUGUUGACAGAUGUCCAAUGGUCCCCAGUCAGUGCUACACACUAGAGAUGUGUCGUUCGUGAACGAUUCGUUCGUUUUGAACGAAUCUAUACAAUGACUCGGAAGUGACGAAUCCGCUCAAUAAGCGAUUCGUUCAUUUCCUCGUGGCCGCGCAUUCGUGACUUCAGUCAAGGAAACAGAAACGGUUCGUUCAUUUCCCAACUGGGUUUUCGUGGGCGAGUCUAUGGAUCAUUUUUCACGCGACCUGCAU